CCCUUAGAUGUUCUGGGCCGCACGCGCGCUACACUGACUGGUGCAACAAGUGUCGCUCCUUGGCCGAUAGGCCUGGGCAAUCUUUGAACGCCAGUCGUGAUGGGGAUAGAUUCUUGCAAUUUUUGAUCUUCAACGAGGAAUUCCUAGUAAACGCGAGUCAUCAACUCGCAUUGAUUACGUCCCUGCCCUUUGUACACACCGCCCGUCGCACCUACCGAUUGAAUGGUCCGGUGAAAUCUCCGGACUGGCGUGAGUCGGAGCAAUCUGACAAACGCCGGAAAGUUGAUUAAACCUUACCAUUUAGAGGAAGGUGAAGUCGUAACA
rnacentral:rRNA from 1 species